CCUGAGAAAGCCCGAAAAAAUGCUGUUCACUUGGUAAAGAAAACCGGGUAAAUGUUGGUUUGUUCGUCUUCGGUAGAGCCUCCACAGUAAAGACCGAGGAUCAGGACGUCUUCGCAGCAGUUGAUAUCCAACUGUGAGGCGCAUUACAACCACCUACUGGAGUAAUUUACUCCAGUGAUGCAAGAUGUGAAGCAAUACCUAUGACAGGUCUCCUGAUGACAACUGAUGAAUAAACCACUGAAGCAUCCUCUUCCACCUACACAUUUGAUGGUCCGUGAGUGCUGUACUGUACUGUACUGUAUCCUUCAA